AGUGAACGCUGGCGGUAGGCCUAACACAUGCAAGUCGAACGGCAGCACAGUAAGAGCUUGCUCUUACGGGUGGCGAGUGGCGGACGGGUGAGGAAUACAUCGGAAUCUACUUUUUCGUGGGGGAUAACGUAGGGAAACUUACGCUAAUACCGCAUACGACCUACGGGUGAAAGCAGGGGAUCUUCGGACCUUGCGCGAUUGAAUGAGCCGAUGUCGGAUUAGCUAGUUGGCGGGGUAAAGGCCCACCAAGGCGACGAUCCGUAGCUGGUCUGAGAGGAUGAUCGGCCACACUGGAACUGAGACACGGUCCAGACUACUACGGGAGGCAGCAGUGGGGAAUAUUGGACAGUGGGCGCAAGCCUGAUCCAGCCAUACCGCGUGGGUGAAGAAGGCCUUCGGGUUGUAAAGCCCUUUUGUUGGGAAAGAAAAGCAGCAGGUUAAUACCCCGCUGUUCUGACGGUACCCAAAGAAUAAGCACCGGCUAACUUCGUG
rnacentral:rRNA from 1 species